ACCUACCAAGAAAACAUGACCCCAAAGUUUAUACUCACAUACCAUUAUAUAUUCCCAGGCAACUUAUAAGCAAAUCCCAUGUAAAAUAUAAACCAAUACAUAUUUUCACCAUCUCCACUAGCUAUGUACCGAACACUCAGCCACCUCAAUUGAGGCCAGAAGGAAACUCACUUUUCCAUCCGGUUUUAUCGCCUAAGAUUAUUACAAAUAUUAUAAACAAGCUAGGAUAUCUUGGGAACUUUACAAUCAACUAAGGUUAGCAGGGAUGGCGGGAAAGUGUGAAGAGAGCUAAAAUAAACAAGUUGGAAACUUAAUGUGUAGUUUUAAUAAUGCAUGAAAUAAAUUAUCAGGAAUAAAUCUUUUGUAAACUCGUUUGGAUAUUAAUAAAAUAAGCCCUUUUGUA